GCGGACAGCCCCGGCGCUGCCGCCGCUGCUGCUCGAUGUCCAUCCGUCCGUCCUUGCGGGCGUCCUGUGCCGGCGCUUCCAGUCUUCCCACCAACUCGCCCUAUGGAGACGGAGCAGCAUCACAGGUUUCCAGGAACAUGCCCAGGCGAGCGCUGGAGCGCUUCGCAGCACGCCGGCCAGCCCGGGUUGCCGGAGGAAAAGUCCAGACCAGGCUCCAGUUAUAGCUACAAUCUCACCUUUCAUAAACUUAAAAAGGCCUUUCGAAGGCUUUUGCCCAAAGUCAGAUGUACUGUCAGUGCCUGGAGACCUUUCGCUCCCUUCCGGACUCCUGCGUUGUCCUUUCAGCUCCUCGGAGAGACGUCCCUCGUGCCUGCGUGGGCAGGGACGGAGACCCGCUCCGCCCCGGUACCCAUGGCUCGGCGGCCCCUGCUGAAACAUUUCACAGCUACAUUUUUUUCUUAUUUAUUUUUUAUUUCAUGGAUAUUAAAAAUUAAUAAGGCAACUCCUAAUCAGAAAUACGCUGUCUGUUUUCACUGAAAAAAAUUAGCAAACCAAUUGUUUCUCCAGCCAUUUGGAAAAUGGAGGAAGGAGAGAGAGAAUUUCACCCGAAAUCACAAUACUCUUCCCGUGCUCAAACCCCUUCCCUGCUGGCUCUCGGAGCUGCUGUCGAAUUCAGGCUUUGCUUUCUCUGCUGUUUCCUGCCGCUUUUAGUUCUUUGGUGCAGCACGACUAAACGCAGGUGAGAGGAGGCUGCGCUCUUCUUUUAGGAGGGUUUUCAUACUUGCAUCAAACAGCUGAGUCUACUCGCUCUUUUACUUAUGUAGUUGUAUAGCUUAAACUGAGUUUUGUUUCAGCUCUAUGGUUUUCAUCUUUACCAAAAUUGAUGGUGUAUACACUCUUCCUUUCUCCUGUGUCUUUGUAUGUUUCCCACGCAAAAGGCUCCUGUUCUCUCUGCUACCAGGGUAAUGCCACAGGGCUGUUAGUGCUGGCAGCCUUCUGCGAUGCGCUGGGAGCCCCGCGCGUGCGGAGAGGCUGCGGAGGGGCAGCGCGCCGCUCCGCAGCUGCAACAGGGUGCUGGUGCCUCUGCAGAGCGGGUGGCGAUGCUGCAGGCCGCGAUGCUGCUGCGGGCGGCCAUGCCGCUGGGGAACACGCGCCACACGUCCUCAUGGCUCCCUGGCAGGGAACUGCAGCACCGCGUGGGUUCACGCAGCGCUAAACAGAAGAGUCCUGAUAGUGUUGGUGCUGAAUAAUAACUGGACAAUGGAAGGGUUUCAUUAGCUUCUUUCAGAUCUGAUGUUUUCCAGAAAUUUGCGUACAAAUGCUGUCCUUGCGCCUGCUUUAGAGCGGCCGCCUGCCAACGUCCCAAAUGCCUUUGUGUUGGUGGAUGCGUGUUGUUUGGGCACACUCACAAGUGCAGACCAGUUCUUCAAAGGCAGAACAUGAUAUUGGAAAAAAAUACAAUUUACAUUUGUUUCUUAAAAUUGAGGACACUGCUAGAGGAGAAAAAAAAACAGCAGCAUUUUAGUGCUUCAUACUGAAUGUCUGAAUUUCUAGAAAUUCAGUGCUGGAGUUCGGUAUUCUUUGGAAACUAACACUUUGUCAGUAUCUCAGUACCGCUGUUGGUCCAGCGCAGCGCCGGGCUCCUGGAAGCUGGCCAGGAUGGCAAUGCGUGAUGUUAGGGCUGUCCUGGGGGAGCCUGUGUCACCCCUCCGGAGCGCUUCCCUUUCCUGCAUUCACCUUGGCUUCUUUAUAUGCCAAAUCACUGAUGUAUUUGUCCUAUAGGACCCUGCUAUUGUAACCCAUGUCCUUUAUGGCCCCAUCGCCUUGUGAGAAUCUGCUUGAAACAAUGGGAGAAAACCGAAAUUGCUCUGGGAAAGCAGGUGUGUGCUGGAAGUGCAGGCAGCGGUGGGUGUACAGGGAGAGCACGAGCGAUGCCGGCAUGGGAAAGAACGGUCUCUUUCCAAUGUCUUGUCCCACAUUAAAGAUCACGUUCCCAGAGGUGGUGGUGUCCUCGCCUCUGAAGGGGAGCACUGGAGGUGUUGGCUUCGGAUGUUGUUAAGGAAAAUUCCUACUGGGUGUUAGGAGAACCUUCCAAAGGUGAAGACAGCCUGCAAAGGCCGCAUGGUUGCCGUCAUUAAGUCUUUGCUAAACGUUUGUUGGGAACGAGCCGGGCUCCCCAAGCUCCUUGGGAGGGGGACCAAACCGGUGCGCAGGUCCACGUCCCUGCCUCGAGCGGCGCUGGCUCUCCCCAGCAUUGCUCGGGUUUGCUGCAGGGCGGGGGGAGGCUGCCUGCGAAGUCACUGAAGUGUCAGGAAAACACUGAAGUGCCAUAAGGUCAUUUUAGGUCAUUUCCCUGCCAGGAAAGUGCUCCCAGCAGGAGUGUCUGAACAUAGUCAUUCUUAUUAAAAAAAAAAAAAAAAAAGGCAAGAAGCCCAUUACUGCUAUUCCUGUUGCGUGUGCUGUGGGAGCACCCGAGGGCUCGGUCAGGAUGCGUUAGGCAGAAAGCAGCGGAUGGGAGCGGGUGGCAGGGAGGCGAGGAGACAUCAACUCCCCCUGGGACAGCCCUGCUCCCGGCUGCCUGGGAGACCUUCACAGGGGUCUGGUGGUGGCCCAGGUGUGGCAAGGAUCCCAUGGCAAGAAGCACCGUGUGAGGACCUCACGACAGCUAGCUGGAAAUUCCUGCNNNNNNNNNNNNNNNCCUGCUGAAUUGGUUCACUUCCAGAAGAACGCUUUUCUUACCUGUGCAAAACCCCAUGUGCGAUUUCCCUCCAGCCCCGAACCGGAAGGACACCCAUUCGCCCACCGGCCGUACCACAAAAUAUCCCUGCAGCAGCAGUGGAGCUCUCCGCUGGCUGGGAAAAACCUACCGUGCCUAUGAAUCAGGCUGCACUCUGGCAAAAAACGAAAAGUACAGGCUUAAGGGAUACGUGAGAAUCAAUUUGCUUCAUGAGCACUGGAGGUAAUGGAGGUGGUUUCCUGUGACUGGCUUUUAUCUGAAUUAUGUAAAGAUUUUCUGUUCUUUCCACGUACACCUAAAAUUUUUCCCAGGGAGGCUCCUGGCAGCGAGCAGUUGUAGGCAAUAGCAGAAGCCACUUGAUGGAAUCACAGAGCUUUUUGGCUGCUCUAACUCUAAAUUCCUUUUUCUGCCCAAAUGCCUAUUUAUAUACAAUUUUUAGGAACUUAAUUAUCCUUGAGACUUCUACCUCUCUGUGAAAUCUGGUUUAAAUCAGUAAAAAAAAAAAAGAGUUCAAAGUUAUUGGGCAGGACAGGCAGACAGACAAGCAUACAGGGAUCACAGGAACCUUGUUUUCAUAGGAAACUAGAUUAAAAAAUCUCAGAGUAGUUACCGGCUCCCUCUGUGGCACCCCCAUCGCUGGUAGGUCUCGUGCAGAGCACAUGGUGGGACUCCUGCGUGGAGCCGCGCAUGGCAAUCUGGCUUUAUGAUCCUGGUAAAAAGAGCAAGAUUGGAACAAAACCUGCCUCAUUGUGCCAGGUUUGCAUAGGAGGUGACUGUGACCAUGACAGCAGCGGUUCUGCAGCCGGUCUGCCUUUCCCAGCUGGAUGCAGAUUCAUGACAUCCCUGCUUUCUCUGGCAAGCAAACCUGUACCUAAUUUCUUCUGAAAAGGGCCCUGAGGAAGUUAGCAGAUGUUAUUAUUAAAGCAUUGAGUAUCAGCAGCUCCUGAGAUAUUGUCAGUCCGUUAAUGAGCUGAUCAAACUGUGGAAAGCAAGAGGUUUCCCAACUUCUUAUUAAGGAAAAUAAGACCUCCAAGGUUAAAAGACUUCUUUUAAACUGCACCAGGUUUAUAGGUUGCAAAAUGUUCUUUAAUCAGUUUAUUCUUAGAAGGCCCUGACUGCCCAGGCACACUAGUGGGUGUUAUCUUAAAGGGUACCCAUAAGGAAACAUAACAGCUCUAUUUUGGUAGUGUGUGCUGCCAUUUGUGCUUGCUAAGUAGUCCUCUUAAUAAGCCAGUUCCAUGCAGUUUCUGUAAUUCUUUUGUGACUCCUUCACUCAUCACCUCCAGCAGCUCUGCCCCAAGACUUCUCCUGGUUUGUGAAUUCUUGUUUUGCUGUUUGAAAGUUAAAUUGAUUUUCUUAUCAAUAUAUUUUUAUUCUCAGUUUAGCAAAUCUUAAAUCUCAAAUGUUUCCCAAGGCCGCAGGAGCCACAGGGUGCACGGGUGAGUGAGAAAGGAGCCCGAAUCCAAAGUCUCCCUGUACCUCUUGUCUGCACUAACUCAUUCCUGAACCUAUUUCUAUAUCUGGGGAUGCACUAGAAACCAUUCCACUAAAAGGAAUGGAAAAUGGGGAACUUGCUUUGUUGAUUUUUUUUUUUUAAUUCUAUAACAUCUGCAAGUUUCCUUGGGGUUUCUCAGCUGCAGGGAUGUUUUGGAUUUAGACAACAGUGCUAAUGAGAUUAGAGUAAAUUGGUAACAGCUAAGAGUUUAGGAAAAUCAUUUAUUAUUUCUAUAGUUCAACAGAAGAGCACAACGUGCCUUAAAGGUGCAUUACCACUAAUAUCAAACAUGGCAGGUCCAAGACCUGACUAGAGUAAGCUGAGAAAAACCUUUGUCUUAUGGAGUUUGAUUAUGUCCAAAAUGCAAUUAGGUAAAUGCUUAAGGAAAAAGAAACAGAAAAAGAGAACAGAGAAAAGGUGAUUGUAAUCCUUUCUGUCUGCUUCCUGAUGCAAGCAUGAAAGCGAAAAAGCCAAAUCUGCUGUGUUGAGCAGUCCUGAUUUGCCCUUACCACGGGAAAAAGCUCACCUCGCUCAAACCAGGCGGGCAGCUUGCCCGGUGCCCGCGGGAGAUUCAACAUCCAGACGCCCAUCAACACUUCCUCCUUGCUGUGGGUCACCGAGCUUCACAUCCACAUCUUGAUUUAUUUUAGCAUGAACAUAUUUAUACCAUCUGAUAAGCAGCGACUGCUAUAAAUAUGUCUGUGCACUCCCUUUUGCUAUGCACCAGUGAGGAAGGGGCAUGCUGUGAUAAAUUGACCCUGAAAUAUUGUGUACGUACAGGAUUUUAAAGACUGCAAGGAUUGGGUCAGUUUUGUGUCUCCGUGUUGUGGCUCACUUAGUUAUUUUUAAGGCCAUUUACUGAACUGUGGCUUCCUGGGAACGUUUCUGACGUUACCUGUAUUUUUCAUCCUAACCUGUGCCAUUCAGUGAAACUUUCCGGAGACUAACAAAUAAACAGACCCUGAACUCUGCCUCA
ensembl:lncRNA